UUUAACUGAGCGUUCAGUUACUUGACGUAGACCCGAAACCGGGCGACCUACCCAUGAGCAGGAUGAAGCGAAAGUAAAAUUUCGUGGAGGUCCGAACCCACGAGCGUUGAAAAGCUCGGGGAUGACUUGUGGGUAGCGGUGAAAUUCCAAUCGAGCCCGGAGAUAGCUGGUUCUCCCCGAAAUAGCUUUAGGGCUAGCCUCAAGGUGAGAGAUACGGAGGUAGAGCACUGAAUGUCCUAGGGGGUAUUGCACCUACCGAAGACUAUCAAACUCCGAAUGCCGUCAUCUUAUACUUGGGAGUCAGACUGUGGGUGAUAAGAUUCAUAGUCGAAAGGGCAACAGCCCAGAUCGUCAGCUAAGGUCCCUAAAUGUAAGUUAAGUGGUAAAGGAUGUGGGAUUGCACAGACAACCAGGAUGUUGGCUUAGAAGCAGCCACUCAUUCAAAGAGUGCGUAAUAGCUCACUGGUCGAGUGAUCCUGCGCCGAAGAUUUCCGGGGCUAAAACUUACUACCGAAGCUACGGCAUCAGUAAUGAUGGGUAGGGGAGCUUCCCAUACGGGUUGAAGCAUGACCGUAAGGACAUGUGGACAGUAUGGGAGUGAGAAUGUUGGCAUGAGUAGCGAGAUGUGG
rnacentral:rRNA from 1 species